rnacentral:rRNA from 1 species
UGCCACAAGAAAAUAUUUGUGGUAAAGCCUGCCCAGUGAUAAUUUCAACGGCCGCGGUAUCCUGACCGUGCAAAGGUAGCAUAAUCAUUUGCCUAUUAAUUGUAGGCUAGUAUGAAGGGAUAAACGAGAUUAUAGCUGUCUCUCUUAAGAAUCUAAAAAUUUAUAUACAAGUGAAGAAGCUUGUAUUUAACCGCAGGACAAGAAGACCCUAUAGAGCUUUACUUAACAUUUUAUCAUAUAUAAAAUAUAAGUUCGGUUGGGGCGACCCGGGAAUAUCAAACAUCCUGAAAUAAGAGACCUAUGAGUCUUAUAAAGGAUCCUAUAUCAUAGAUCACUAGACCAAGCUACCUUAGGGAUAACAGGCUAAUCCUUCUAGAGAGUUCAUAUUGACAGAAGGGGUUGGCACCUCGAUGUUGGCUUAGGACUUCUUUUCGAUGCAGCAAUCGUAUCAGA